rnacentral:rRNA from 1 species
UACGUAGGUGGCGAGCGUUGUCCGGAUUUACUGGGCGUAAAGCGCGCGCAGGCGGCAGUCUAAGUCCUCUGUGAAAUCACCCGGCUCAACUGGGUGGCUGCGGAGGAGACUGGGCAGCUUGAGGGGCCUAGAGGCCGGUGGAACUCCCGGUGUAGUGGUGAAAUGCGUAGAUAUCUGGAGGAACACCGGUGGCGAAGGCGGCAUCCUGGACCAACACUGACGCUGAUGAGCGAAAGCCAGGGGAGCAAACGGG